UUAUAAUAGUAAGUGAAAAAGCUGGGUAUAAAACUACACACAAUAUCAUCUCAAGUCUAUAAACCAAAUAAAACACAAAUAUGCCUAGAAGAAACCUAGAAGAAAAUACAUUAAAAUGGUCAACUUUACUCUAGAUUCUAGAUCAGUGGUUUUUAAUAGCAUCCUCAUCUUAUGAUAACUUGUUAGAAAUGCAAAUUUUCAUAUCCCCAACCCCGACUUACUGGUUCAGAAACUCUGGGCAUGAGGCCAAGCAGUCCACGUUUUAACAAGGUGACUGAUACGUAAUAAAAUUUGAAAGCUACUGCUCUAGAUAAUGAGAUCAUGGGUUAAUUAAUUUUCUUCCUUAUAUAAAUAUCCAGUUGGUUUGUCCAUGUGAGGCAUAGAGGUUAAGAACAUUAUUGGCUUUGGAGCCAGACAGACUAGAAUGUGGGCCUUGCUGCACCACUUAGCUAUGUGGCCUUGGUCACACUGCUUUACCUAUCUUUCAAUACUUUAAAUAUUGCACUCCACUCUCUCCUGGUGUACAUGGUUUCUGACAAGAAGUCUAGGAAGUUUCUACUGACAUCAUCUUCAAAUUCAGUGACUCUUUUCUCAGUCAUCUUGAGUCCACCAUGGGGCCUUCAAAGAUUUCCAAAUGUUGGGCUUUGAGAGGAAUGGCACAAUACAGGAAACACAAAAAGACAGAAAUCACAAAAAACUUGUAAAACCUCUUUCAUCUAAGAGUUGAAAAUUGAAUUGGAGGCACUUUACCAAUCAAAGCAUGCAAAAAAAAAGAAUAUUUUAGUACAAACAAAAAUAGUACAGCAUAGAGUGAGUUUAGAGCAUCUGAGGCUCACUAAAAAAUCUGAUAUACCAUCCAAAGCUCACUGGCCUGCCAAGAGUUAGAAUUUUAUUCCUAAGCAGUUAGUUUCCUAGAUUCACAGACAGAAGGUCCUUCCAGUCCUAUAUGAAACUGUCAAGGAGACAGAAACAAUAAAAUGAGAUUUAAAGAUCCAAAGAAUCAACAAUUCCAUUGAUUCUCCAUUUAAACUAACAAAACAAAACAGAAGGAAAAGAAAGAAAAUAAUGUUCUGGCUGAGGACACUUUAGAGAAAUAAUAGAACUUCAAAAAAAGUUUUUGUUACCCCAUUUCAAACAUUCUCCUUUCACUAAAACAAAUAAAAUUAAGUGAUUUUGAAAAUUAACUUGAUUCUAAAAUAUAAAUUCUUUCUUCUUUUAGCUAACAUAACUAUGUUUUCUAAUCUGGAAAAAAUAUAUUAUUCCAUUAGAGCAAAAAAAUGCCACAAAUAAAUACAACUUCAAUGCACAUAAUCUUAUAGAAAAAUUUUAUAAAUAGAACAUAAUAGCCCCUAUCAUAGAUUUAUGUAAUUUUUCUUACCAAUAUUACCAAUACUUGUAUCAAGAUAAAUCCUUAAAUGUUGAAGAAAAGCUGGAUAUGAUGGAUAUCCAGUAAAUUACUCUUCCUUUACAACUUAAAAAAAAAUUGCAAGAUUAAAGAUGAGCUAUUUAGAACACAUAUAUGUUGUACAUCAACUGUAGUUCAAUUUUAAAAGGAAGAAAAUA